UGAGGAAUAUUGGUCAAUGGGCGAGAGCCUGAACCAGCCAAGUCGCGUGAAGGAAGACUGCCUUAUGGGUUGUAAACUUCUUUUAUACAGGAAUAAAAAGGCUUACGUGUAGGCCAUUGCAAGUACUGUAUGAAUAAGCAUCGGCUAACUCCGUGCCAGCAGCCGCGGUAAUACGGAGGAUGCGAGCGUUAUCCGGAUUUAUUGGGUUUAAAGGGUGCGCAGGCGGGCUUUUAAGUCAGCGGUGAAAUCUGGACGCUUAACGUCCAAACUGCCGUUGAAACUGGGAGUCUUGAGUAUGGAUGAAGUAGGCGGAAUUCGUUGUGUAGCGGUGACAUGCAUAGAUAUAACGAGGAACUCCGAUUGCGUAGGCAGCUUACUAAGCCAUAACUGACGCUCAUGCACGAAAGCGUGGGGAUCAAACAGGAUUAGAUACCAUGGUAGUCCACGCCGUAAAACGAUGAUUACUAGUUGUAUGCGAUAUGAUAGUAUGUGACUAAGCGAAAGCGAUAAGUAAUCCACCUGGGGAGUACGCCGCAACGGUGAAACUCAAAGGAAUUGACGGGGUCAUAGCUG
rnacentral:rRNA from 1 species